rnacentral:rRNA from 1 species
UACGUAGGGCGCAAGCGUUGUCCGGAGUUACUGGGCGUAAAGCGCUUGUAGGCGGUCCACCAAGUUUGGGGUGACAGUUGCCGACUUAAUCGGCAAAGUGCCUCAAAGACUGGCGGACUUGAGGGCCACAGAGGGACAUGGAACUCCAGGUGUAGUGGUGAAAUGCGUAGAUAUCUGGAAGAACACCAAAGGCGAAGGCAGUGUCCUGGGUGGUCGCUGACGCUGAGAGGCGAAAGCCAGGGGAGCGAACGGG